rnacentral:rRNA from 1 species
UACGUAGGGUGCGAGCGUUAAUCGGAAUUACUGGGCGUAAAGCGUGCGCAGGCGGUUUUGUAAGCCAGAUGUGAAAUCCCCGGGCUUAACCUGGGAAUGGCAUUUGGGACUGCAAGGCUGGAGUGUGGCAGAGGUGACUGGAAUUCCUGGUGUAGCAGUGAAAUGCGUAGAUAUCAGGAGGAAUACCGAUGGCGAAGGCAGGUCUCUGGGCUAACACUGACGCUCAUGCACGAAAGCGUGGGGAGCAAACAGG